GGAGUUAGCCGGUGCUUCUUCUGUGAGUGAUGUCCUUCCUGCCGGCUAUUAACCCGCAGGCCUUCUUCCUCACUGAAAGUGCUUUACAACCCGAAGGCCUUCUUCACACACGCGGCAUGGCUGGAUCAGGGUUGCCCCCAUUGUCCAAUAUUCCCCACUGCUGCCUCCCGUAGGAGUCUGGGCCGUGUCUCAGUCCCAGUGUGGCUGAUCAUCCUCUCAGACCAGCUACGGAUCGUCGCCUUGGUGAGCCGUUACCUCACCAACCAGCUAAUCCGACAUAGGCUCAUCCGAUAGCGCGAGGCCCGAAGGUCCCCCGCUUUCCCCCGUAGGGCGUAUGCGGUAUUAGCCUGGGUUUCCCCAGGUUAUCCCCCACUACCGGGCAGAUUCCUAUGCAUUACUCACCCGUCCGCCGCUCGCCACCAGGGAGCAAGCUCCCCGUGCUGCCGCUCGACUUGCAUGUGUUAGGCCUGCCGACAGCGUUCAAUCUGAGCCAUAAUCAAACUCUGA
rnacentral:rRNA from 1 species